rnacentral:sRNA from 1 species
AUUUAUUUUUUAGUAUUUCUAUUUCUUUAAGAAGAAAAAAGUUAAUUGAUUUCUUUUUAGUAUUUCUAUUUCUUUAAGAAGAAAAAAGUUAAUUAUUUUCUGACACGUGUCAACAUCUGAUCGAUAGACUUGACACGUGGCAUAAUCUUAUGAGUUAGUAACUUUGAAAACCAUACUUUAUAUAAUAAGAUUCUAUUUUAUUUUAUGUUUUACCUUUUUACUAGUAAACAUAAA